UACGUAGGGCGCAAGCGUUGUCCGGAAUUAUUGGGCGUAAAGAGCUCGUAGGCGGCCUGUCGCGUCCGCUGUGAAAUCCCGGGGCUCAACCCCGGGCCUGCGGUGGAUACGGGCUGGCUGGAGGCAGGCAGGGGAGAACGGAAUUCCUGGUGUAGCGGUGAAAUGCGCAGAUAUCGGGAGGAACACCUGUGGCGAAAGCGGCUCACUGGACCAUAACUGACGCUGAGGCGCGAAAGCUAGGGGAGCAAACAGG
rnacentral:rRNA from 1 species